UACGGAGGGUGCAAGCGUUACCCGGAAUCACUGGGCGUAAAGGGCGUGUAGGCGGAUCACUCGAGUCUGGUUUAAAGACCGGGGCUCAACCCGGGCAUGGACUGGAUACUGGUGAUCUUGACCUCUGGAGAGGUAGCUGGAAUUCCUGGUGUAGCGGUGGAAUGCGUAGAUACCAGGAGGAACACCAAUGGCGAAGGCAGGCUACUGGACCGUAACUGACGCUGAGA
rnacentral:rRNA from 1 species